AGAGUUUGAUCCUGGCUCAGAUUGAACGCUGGCGGAAUGCUUUACACAUGCAAGUCGAACGGCAGCACGGGAGCUUGCUCCUGGUGGCGAGUGGCGAACGGGUGAGUAACGCGUCGGAACGUACCGAGUAAUGGGGGAUAACGCAGCGAAAGUUGUGCUAAUACCGCAUACGCCCUGAGGGGGAAAGGAGGGGAUCGCAAGACCUUUCGCUUUCGGAGUGGCCGAUAUCAGAUUAGCUAGUUGGUGGGGUAAAGGCCUACCAAGGCAACGAUCUGUAGCUGGUCUGAGAGGACGACCAGCCACACUGGGACUGAGACACGGCCCAGACUCCUACGGGAGGCAGCAGUGGGGAAUUUUGGACAAUGGGGGCAACCCUGAUCCAGCCAUGCCGCGUGAGUGAAGAAGGCCUUCGGGUUGUAAAGCUCUUUCAGCCGGAAAGAAAUCGUGCAACCUAAUACGUUGUAUGGAUGACGGUACCGGAAGAAGAAGCACCGGCUAACUACGUGCCAGCAGCCGCGGUAAUAC
rnacentral:rRNA from 1 species